ensembl:lncRNA
ACAGUACAGCUGAUCUUCGAAGGUUCCGGUACAGGUUUAGAGCCUGCACUGAUUGUCUCAGCAGGUUUAGUGGCCCUUCUGAUGUGGGUGGGUGUGGCUGCAGCAAUAUUUUUCAUUAUGAAGAGCAGGAAUGCACACACGCCAGACACAGAUGAGGAGGUGCUCUGUGGUGAAGUGUCUGUGAUGAAGAUCAACCAGAGGAGGGAGGAGGAGGAGGAGGAGGAGGUCCUAAGACCUCAGCAGGAGAGUGUGUAUUCUCAGUGACAGGAGCCUCCAGCCCGAGGGAGCAGCAAUGACACACCAUCCUCCAGCCCAGAGGCAAGCAGAUGGAUUCAGGAUAAAACAUAUUAGCACACAUGUGGCAUAUGUACAUUAUACAUACAUGAUUCCAUGGAACAUUAAACAAAGGUAUAUAUAAAAUAUACAGAAUAGAU